rnacentral:rRNA from 1 species
UACGUAGGGGGCAAGCGUUGUUCGGAAUUACUGGGCGUAAAGGGAGCGUAGGCGGAUAGGUAAGUUAGGAGUGUAAUCUACAGGCUUAACCUGUAGUUUGCUUUUAAUACUGCCUGUCUUGAGUAUUGGAGAGGGAGAUGGAAUUCCAGGUGUAGCGGUGGAAUGCGUAGAUAUCUGGAAGAACACCAGUUGCGAAGGCGGUCUCCUGGCCAAAUACUGACGUUGAUGCUCGAAAGCUAAGGGAGCAAACAGG